AGAGAGAGAAAGAGGGAGAGGUAGACAGAGAGACAGACAGACAGAGAGACAGAGAGAGAAAGAGGGAGAGGUAGACAGAGAGACAGAGAGAGAAAGAGGGAGAGGUAGACAGAGAGACAGAGAGAGAAAGAGGGAGAGGUAGACAGAGAGACAGAGAGAGAAAGAGGGAGAGGUAGACAGAGAGACAGAGAGAGAAAGAGGGAGAGGUAGACAGAGAGACAGAGAGAGAAAGAGGGAGAGGUAGACAGAGAGACAGAGAGAGAAAGAGGGAGAGGUAGACAGAGAGACAGAGAGAGAAAGAGGGAGAGGUAGACAGAGAGACAGACAGACAGAGAGACAGAGAGAGAAAGAGGGAGAGGUAGACAGAGAGACAGAGAGAGAAAGAGGGAGAGGUAGACAGAGAGACAGAGAGAGAAAGAGGGAGAGGUAGACAGAGAGACAGAGAGAGAAAGAGGGAGAGGUAGACAGAGAGACAGACAGACAGAGAGAAAGAGGGAGAGGUAGACAGAGAGACAGACAGACAGAGAGAGAAAGAGGGAGAGGUAGACAGAGAGACAGAGAGAGAAAGAGGGAGAGGUAGACAGAGAGACAGAGAGAGAAAGAGGGAGAGGUAGACAGAGAGACAGAGAGAGAAAGAGGGAGAGGUAGACAGAGAGACAGACAGACAGAGAGACAGAGAGAGAAAGAGGGAGAGGUAGACAGAGAGACAGAGAGAGAAAGAGGGAGAGGUAGACAGAGAGACAGAGAGAGAAAGAGGGAGAGGUAGACAGAGAGACAGAGAGAGAAAGAGGGAGAGGUAGACAGAGAGACAGAGAGAGAAAGAGGGAGAGGUAGACAGAGAGACAGAGAGAGAAAGACCAGGUCCACCUCUACAAGGCAGCAGUGCCCACCUUUGCCAGGACCCUAAAGGACAUCGCUCUCAAACGUAUCCCCAACACUUCACACAGGAGCAACAGAUCAAUAGACUCCCCACCCAGACCAGCGAGACACCCUCCCAGA